rnacentral:lncRNA from 1 species
UAAAAUACCAACCCGAGGUCUGGUUUCUAUCUCCACUAUAAGGGUUGGUUUCUAUCUCCACUAUAAGGGUUGGUUUCUAUCUCCACUAUAAGGUCUGGUUUCUAUCUCCACUAUAAGGGUUGGUUUAUAUCUCCACUAUAAGGGUUGGUUUCUAUCUCCACUAUAAGGUCUGGUUUCUAUCUCCACUAUAAGGGUUGGUUUAUAUCUCCACUAUAAGGGUUGGUUUCUAUCUCCACUAUAAGGUCUGGUUUCUAUCUCCACUAUAAGGUCUGGUUUCUAUCUCCACUAUAAGGGUUGGUUUAUAUCUCCACUCUAAGGGUUGGUUUAUAUCUCCACUACAAGGGUUGGUUUAUAUCUCCACUAUAAGGUCUGGUUUCUAUCUCCACUAUAAGGGUUGGUUUAUAUCUCCACUAUAAGGGUUGUUUUAUAUCUCCACUAUAAGGGUUGGU